UCCGGUGACAAUAGAGAAAGGGCCACACCUGUUCCCAUCUCGAACACAGAAGUUAAGCCUUUCAUCGCUGAUGGUACUUGGGGGGCAGCCCCCUGGGAGAGUAAGUCGUCGCCGGGU
rnacentral:rRNA from 1 species